rnacentral:tRNA from 1 species
CGGAAGUAGCUCAGUUGGUAGAGCAUCAGCUUCCCAAGCUGAGGGUCGCGGGUUUGAGCCCCGUCUUCCG